CCCUUAGAUGUUCUGGGCUGCACGCGUGCUACACUGAUUACUUCAACAAGUGUUUUAACUGGAGAGUUCGCGUAAUCCUGAUAUGUUAUCGUGAUGGGAGUAGAGUAUUGUAUUUGUUAAUCUUUAACGAGGAAUUCCUAGUAAGUGUAGGUUUAUAAGUUGUUCUGAUUACGUCCCUGCCCUUUGUACACACCGCCCGUCGCUCCUACCGAUUGAUUGAUCCGGUGAAUUACAUAGAAUUUUGCGUUUUACAUGACGGAAGAUGAAGUGUUUUAAACCUUAUCAUUUAGAGGAAGGAGAAGUCGUAACA
rnacentral:rRNA from 1 species